AUCAAGUGACGAGUCCCAGACUGGACGAAAUGCGCAUGCUGGAU
rnacentral:hammerhead_ribozyme from 1 species